UGGUGACGUUGAUCUCACAGAGAAGCAGGAGUUCACUAUUGUCAUGAAAUCUCCAUUGCGCGCCACCAUCUCUCCCAGAAACUGACCUCCACUCCACCCUUUAUAAAAAUGCAUUUUCUACUUUAAUUGCUUCAAAUUUCAUAUAUACACAUUGAAAACAAAAGAUGCGUAUCUGACAAAAUGAAUAUAACACGAGCUUUUUUAUGUUAGUAGUAUUUCCCAUAGCCAAAUAGCAAAGGAUUAAAAACCAUAUAUCAGGAUUGCAUACACGUGCACGACCACUUUGCCUCUUGAAAUUUAAUCUCAGGAUAAAUUAAAUAGCAUUAGUGAAGACUGUACUAAUAGUAAAGUGAUAUUGCUUUGUAUUCCACAGAUGAGAAUGAAUCCACAGAAUCUUAUUCAGAAGCAGGAUCAAAAAUCAAAACGAAACCUUCUACCUCUUAACGAAUUCCUGUCUUGAAAAUUAUGCCCAAUUGUUUCGCAAACAAAAUCUUAUUAUGUAUAAAACUUAAUUAGUAAAAAAACAAUGGCAAAGUUAAUAAAUUAUAAUUGAAUGAUUGCCAUCAAAGUUUGUAAGGCGUUGGAUUAUCUGAGCUUGGCAGAGGAGAUUAAGAGAUAGGAAGGUUUUGUGUCGUGGAGGGGAGUGGCGUACGAGGUGUGAUCAGGGCCAACAUCCGUUGAGGAAAAUCCUGACCAUUACGAACAUCAACAUACCUGAGCUUGCAGCGAAUGUUCACUAUUGCUCCAGACGGCAGGAAGUGAACCCAUUGCCCAAAUCAAUACCUAAAAACCAUAUAUCAGCUUUCAAUUUAAUCUGACCCUAAAUAAUUAGCAUUAAUUAUUGAAGACACUACCAAUAUUGGAAAAAGUGGAGAUCAUUCAACAAUAUAUAUAUUGC
rnacentral:lncRNA from 1 species